rnacentral:rRNA from 1 species
AAUAAUUUAUUUAUUUAAUGUUUUAGUAUUUAGUAAAAAUUAAUUUUUAGAUUUAUAGUUUAAUAGUAUUGUAAAAGAAAUUGUUAAAUUUUAUAAAGAAUUUUAUAGUACCUUUUGUAUCAGGGUUGAUUAAAAUUUUUAAUUUUUUUUUAAUUUCUCAAAAUUUAUAGAGUUAAUUUUAUUAUUAAUUUAUUGUGGUAAAAAUAUUUAUAAAAUAAUAUUAGUUUUGAAAUUUAAUUCGUUAUAUUAUAUUUAGUUAUUUAAGAUUUAAAUUUAAUUUAAAAUUUUAAAAGUUGUAUUAAUUUUAUUGAUUAAUAUUUUAAAUUUAAAUUAUUUUAGGGAUAAGCUUGAAAUUUUAAUAUAAUAAUUUAUUUAUUUUAAUAAUUUAUAGGAAUAGAAAUUUUUAUUUAAGUUUGUAAAAAUUUAUUAUUUAUUUAAUUUUAAUUUAUUAUAUUUAUAUUUAUUUUUAAUAUUAAAUUUUAUUAAUUAAUAUUUAAUUAAUAGUAAUAAUGAUUAAAUUAGUAUAAUAUAUAAAUUUAUAAAUUAUGAAUUCGGCAAAAAUUAUUUUCAUCUGUUUAACAAAAACAUUGUAUUAAGUUUAAUUUAAUAUAGGAUCUGCUCAAUGAUUUAUUAAAUAGCUGCAGUAUUUUGACUGUGCAAAGGUAGCAUAAUAAUUAGUCUUUUAAUUGAGGACUUGAAUGAAAGAUUUGAUGAGAAAUAGACUUUAUUAUUUAUAAAAUUAAAAUUUUAUUUUAAGUAAAAAAGCUUAAAUUAUUUAAAGGGACGAUAAGACCCUAUAAAACUUUAUAAAUUUUGAUUUUAAUUUUUUUGGAUUCAUAAAUAUUUUAUAAUUAAAAUUUAUUUUAUUGGGGUGAUAAAAAAAAUUAUUAAACUUUUUUUAAAAUUUAACAUUAUUUAAUGAUUAGUUGAAUUAAAAUUUUUAAUUAAAGGAAAAAGUUACUUUAGGGAUAACAGCGUAAUUAAUUUUUUAAGUUCAAAUUUAAAAAUUAGUUUGCGACCUCGAUGUUGAAUUAAGAUUAAUCUUAGUGCAAAUUUAAGUAUUAGUCUGUUCGACCUUUAAA